rnacentral:lncRNA from 1 species
CUGGGUUGUUUCUGUCCACACGCACAGCUUGUAGUCAUCUGGCACAGCUUGUGGUCAUCUGAUAAAGCAGGCGCAGCAGGGGGAUGACCUACUUGUUUUUUGUGAAAUGCUCACAGCUGUUAGUUUGUUAGUCAGGGGGCAAAAAGGUAGAAAUGAAGUCAGUCAGAAAUAGCUGGGUGGUGGCUCAGUGAAUUCCAGGCUUUGGAACCUGCAGUAUUUUAACACACAACUUUAUUUUCUGAAAUGACAAAAGCGCAAACCAAACUAAGUGCUGACAUGAGGGUUGGCUGGAACGUAGGUGUCUAGGACUGCUGUCUUGAAGGAGUCCAUUAGCUGCUGGAAGCACAUUCCUGUGCAGCUGGCUGCAGACAUGGAGUACCCAUAUGCUGGGCCAGGCAGCACUUCUCUGGAGGCUCUUGAGCUGGGUUGGAGCUCCUCUGCUCAGGCAGCAUAUCAGGAGCAUAGAACCAUGAAGAAUAAGAUGGAGGUACAGACAGUUGUGUGUGGAUACACUGGAGUCCUGGUACCAUUGGAUUUAUGGUUAUGCUCCUUGUCUGCUAAGAAACCCUUCUAUAAAUUCACAUUAGUAGAAGAUAUGUGAAUUCCUGAAUAGAAUCCAAUGAGAAUGAAAUAACCACAUAUGUUAGGUACAAAAAUGCCAAUCCUUAAAGACCUAAUGUCACUUAUUUUCUUGUUGUAUGCUUCCUGAGCCAUGGUGAGUGCUACUAUGGGACUUACCCUACUCAAGGGUGAAAAUUUAUAUUUCUGUAAAACAAAAGGUUUUUGUUUUUUUUUUUUUCUGCUGUUUGUUGUAGUAGGCGUGUUGCGGACCUCGGUUUGUAACGCGGAAAGGCCCUUCCCCAUAAGCUUGUUAUUGGUUCGCCUGAGAGGCCGAGCCUGUGUCGUGGACACAGGGGAUUGGGCUUCUUAGGAGAACAACAACUCCGUGUAUGGCCUGUAGGAAGUGACAGGUCAGAAGCGGGAGAUUCAAUAUGAUUGGCCAGGAGCACCGCAUGAGCUUCUGGAACAGUCUAGCAAGAAGAUAAGAAACACUAUAUAUUUCUUUAGCUUUUACCAAUAAACGCCAUUUUGCUGCACA